rnacentral:rRNA from 1 species
UACGAAGGGGGCUAGCGUUGCUCGGAAUGACUGGGCGUAAAGGGCGCGUAGGCGGAUGGCACAGUCAGAUGUGAAAUUCCCGGGCUUAACCUGGGGGCUGCAUUUGAUACGUGUGAUCUAGAGUGAGGAAGAGGGUCGUGGAAUUCCCAGUGUAGAGGUGAAAUUCGUAGAUAUUGGGAAGAACACCGGUGGCGAAGGCGGCGACCUGGUCCUUGACUGACGCUGAGGCACGAAAGCGUGGGGAGCAAACAGG